rnacentral:rRNA from 1 species
UACGUAGGGGGGCUAGCGUUGUCCGGAAUCAUUGGGCGUAAAGCGCGCGUAGGCGGCCAGAUAAGUCCGGUGUGAAAGUCACAGGCUCAACCUGUGAAUGCCGCUGGAAACUGUCUGGCUCGAGUCCGGGAGGGGCGAGUGGAAUUCCUGGUGUAGCGGUGAAAUGCGCAGAUAUCAGGAGGAACACCAAUGCGAAGGCAGCUCGCUGGAACGGUACUGACGCUGAGGCGCGAAAGCGUGGGGAGCGAACAGG